rnacentral:rRNA from 1 species
GACGAACGCUGGCGGCGUGCUUAACACAUGCAAGUCGAACGGAAAGGCCCUGCUUUUGUGGGGUGCUCGAGUGGCGAACGGGUGAGUAACACGUGAGUAACCUGCCCUUGACUUUGGGAUAACUUCAGGAAACUGGGGCUAAUACCGGAUAGGAGCUCCUGCUGCAUGGGGGGGGUUGGAAAGUUUCGGCGGUUGGGGAUGGACUCGCGGCUUAUCAGCUUGUUGGUGGGGUAGUGGCUUACCAAGGCUUUGACGGGUAGCCGGCCUGGGAGGGUGACCGGCCACAUUGGGACUGCGAGACGGCCCAGACUCCUACGGGAGGCAGCAGUGGGGAAUAUUGCACAAUGGGCGGAAGCCUGAUGCAGCAACGCCGCGUGCGGGAUGACGGCCUUCGGGUUGUAAACCGCUUUCGCCUGUGACGAAGCGUGAGUGACGGUAAUGGGUAAAGAAGCACCGGCUAACUACGUG